rnacentral:rRNA from 1 species
AGUGAACGCUGGCGGUAGGCCUAACACAUGCAAGUCGAACGGCAGCACAGUAAGAGCUUGCUCUUACGGGUGGCGAGUGGCGGACGGGUGAGGAAUACAUCGGAAUCUACUUUUUCGUGGGGGAUAACGUAGGGAAACUUACGCUAAUACCGCAUACGACCUACGGGUGAAAGCAGGGGAUCUUCGGACCUUGCGCGAUUGAAUGAGCCGAUGUCGGAUUAGCUAGUUGGCGGGGUAAAGGCCCACCAAGGCGACGAUCCGUAGCUGGUCUGAGAGGAUGAUCAGCCACACUGGAACGGAGACACGGGCCAGACUCCUACGGGAGGCAGCAGUGGGGAAUAUUGGACAAUGGGCGCAAGCCUGAUCCAGCCAUACCGCGUGGGUGAAGAAGGCCUUCGGGUUGUAAAGCCCUUUUGUUGGGAAAGAAAAGCAGCAGGUUAAUACCCCGCUGUUCUGACGGUACCCAAAGAAUAAGCACCGGCUAACUUCGUG